rnacentral:rRNA from 1 species
UACGUAGGGUGCGAGCGUUAAUCGGAAUUACUGGGCGUAAAGCGUGCGCAGGCGGUUUGUUAAGACAGAUGUGAAAUCCCCGGGCUUAACCUGGGAACUGCAUUUGUGACUGGCAGGCUAGAGUAUGGCAGAGGGGGGUAGAAUUCCACGUGUAGCAGUGAAAUGCGUAGAGAUGUGGAGGAAUACCGAUGGCGAAGGCAGCCCCCUGGGCCAAUACUGACGCUCAUGCACGAAAGCGUGGGGAGCAAACAGG